UAAUACGUAGGGUGCAAGCGUUAAUCGGAAUUACUGGGCGUAAAGCGUGCGCAGGCGGUUUUGUAAGACAGAGGUGAAAUCCCCGGGCUCAACCUGGGAACUGCCUUUGUGACUGCAAGGCUUGAGUGCGGCAGAGGGGGAUGGAAUUCCGCGUGUAGCAGUGAAAUGCGUAGAUAUGCGGAGGAACACCGAUGGCGAAGGCAAUCCCCUGGGCCUGCACUGACGCUCAUGCACGAAAGCGUGGGGAGCAAACAGGAUUAGAUACCCUGGUAGUCCACGCCCUAAACGAUGUCAACUGGUUGUUGGGAAGGUUCCUUCUCAGUAACGUAGCUAACGCGUGAAGUUGACCGCCUGGGGAGUACGGCCGCAAGGUU
rnacentral:rRNA from 1 species